UACGAAGGGGGCAAGCGUUGUUCGGAAUUAUUGGGCGUAAAGGGCGCGUAGGCGGUUUGACAAGUCUGAUGUGAAAUCUAUGGGCUCAACCCAUAGCCUGCAUUAGAAACUGUCGGGCUUGAGUAUGGGAGAGGUGAGUGGAAUUUCCGGUGUAGCGGUGAAAUGCGUAGAUAUCGGAAGGAACACCUGUGGCGAAAGCGGCUCACUGGACCAUAACUGACGCUGAGGCGCGAAAGCCAGGGGAGCAAACGGG
rnacentral:rRNA from 1 species